UACGUAGGCAGCGAGCGUUGUUCGGAGUUACUGGGCGUAAAGCGUGCGUAGGCGGUCUUGUAAGUUUGGUGUGAAAUCUCCCGGCUCAACUGGGAGGGUGCGCCGAAAACUGCAAGGCUGGAGUAUGGGAGAGGUAGGCGGAAUUCCUGGUGUAGCGGUGAAAUGCGUAGAUAUCAGGAGGAACACCGGUGGCGAAGGCGGGUCUCUGGGCCACUACUGACGCUGAGGAGCGAAAGCGUGGGGAGCAAACAGG
rnacentral:rRNA from 1 species